GAUGAACGCUGGCGGCGUGCCUAACACGUGCAAGUCGAGCGUGAUUUAUGAGGACGAAACUUCGGUCUAGGAAUCAUAAUGAAAGCGGCGGACGGGUGAGUAACGCGUAGGCAACCUGCCCUUGACACAGGGAUAGCCUCGGGAAACCGGGAUUAAAACCUGAUGACGCCAAACAGUAACAUGGCUGUUUGGCCAAAGAUUUAUCGGUCAAGGAUGGGCCUGCGUCUGAUUAGUUAGUUGGUGGGGUAACGGCCUACCAAGACGACGAUCAGUAGCCGACCUGCGAGGGUGAUCGGCCACAUUGGAACUGAGACACGGUCCAAACUCCUGCGGGAGGCAGCAGUGGGGAAUAUUGCACAAUGGGCGAAAGCCUGAUGCAGCAACGCCGCGUGAGCGAUGAAGGCCUCUGGGUCGUAAAGCUCUGUCCUUGGUGAAGAAACAAAUGACGGUACCCAAGGAGGAAGCCCCGGCUAACUACGUGCCAGCCGCCGCGGUAA
rnacentral:rRNA from 1 species